GAGUUUGAACCUGGCUCAGGACGAACGCUGGCGGCACGCCUAACACAUGCAAGUCGAACGGACGAGAGGAAGCUUGCUUCCUUGAGUUAGUGGCGGACGGGUGAGUAACACGUGAGCAACCUGCCUCUGAGAGAGGGAUAGCUUCUGGAAACGGACGGUAAUACCUCAUAACAUAUUUAAAUCGCAUGAUUUGGAUAUCAAAGAAAUUCGCUCAGAGAUGGGCUCGCGUCUGAUUAGAUAGUUGGUGAGGUAACGGCUCACCAAGUCGACGAUCAGUAGCCGGACUGAGAGGUUGAACGGCCACAUUGGGACUGAGACACGGCCCAGACUCCCACGGGAGGCAGCAGUGGGGAAUAUUGCACAAUGGGGGAAACCCUGAUGCAGCGAUGCCGCGUGGAGGAAGAAGGUUUUCGGAUUGUAAACUCCUUUUAUCAGGGACGAUAAUGACGGUACCUGAAGAAAAAGCUCCGGCUAACUACGUGCCAGCAGCCGCGGUAAUACGUAGGGAGCGAGCGUUGUCCGGAAUUACUGGGUGUAAAGGGAGCGUAGGCGGGACGGCAAGUCAGAUGUGAAAACUGAGGGCUCAACCUUCAGACUGCAUUUGAAACUGCUGUUCUUGAGUGAAGUAGAGGUAAGCGGAAUUCCUAGUGUAGCGGUGAAAUGCGUAGAUAUUAGGAGGAACAUCGGUGGCGAAGGCGGCUUACUGGGCUUUUACUGACGCUGAGGCUCGAAAGCGU
rnacentral:rRNA from 1 species